rnacentral:rRNA from 1 species
CCAUGCAGUCGAACGGCAGCACAGAGGAGCUUGCUCCUUGGGUGGCGAGUGGCGGACGGGUGAGGAAUACAUCGGAAUCUACUUUUUCGUGGGGGAUAACGUAGGGAAACUUACGCUAAUACCGCAUACGACCUACGGGUGAAAGCAGGGGACCUUCGGGCCUUGCGCGAUUGAAUGAGCCGAUGUCGGAUUAGCUAGUUGGCGGGGUAAAGGCCCACCAAGGCGACGAUCCGUAGCUGGUCUGAGAGGAUGAUCAGCCACACUGGAACUGAGACACGGUCCAGACUCCUACGGGAGGCAGCAGUGGGGAAUAUUGGACAAUGGGCGCAAGCCUGAUCCAGCCAUACCGCGUGGGUGAAGAAGGCCUUCGGGUUGUAAAGCCCUUUUGUUGGGAAAGAAAUCCAGCCGGCUAAUACCUGGUUGGGAUGACGGUACCCAAAGAAUAAGCACCGGCUAACUUCGUGCCAGCAGCCGCGGUAAUACGAAGGGUGCAAGCGUUACUCGGAAUUACUGGGCGUAAAGCGUGCGUAGGUGGUUGUUUAAGUCUGUUGUGAAAGCCCUGGGCUCAACCUGGGAACUGCAGUGGAAACUGGACAACUAGAGUGUGGUAGAGGGUAGCGGAAUUCCCGGUGUAGCAGUGAAAUGCGUAGAGAUCGGGAGGAACAUCCAUGGCGAAGGCAGCUACCUGGACCAACACUGACACUGAGGCAC